UCAAGUAAUUAAGUGCAUGUGGUGGAUGCCUUGGCAGUCAGAGGCGAUGAAAGACGUGAUAGCCUGCGAAAAGCUCCGGGGAGGCGGCAAAUAUCCUUUGAUCCGGAGAUGUCUGAAUGGGGGAACCCACCUACUUUAAGGUAGGUAUUGCAACAUGAAUACAUAGUGUUGCAAGGCGAACGAGGGGAAGUGAAACAUCUCAGUACCCUUAGGAAAAGAAAUCAAUUGAGAUUCCCUCAGUAGCGGCGAGCGAACGGGGAUCAGCCCAUUAAGUUAUGUGUGUUUUAGUGGAACGCUCUGGGAAGUGCGAACGUAGAGGGUGAUAUUCCCGUACACGAAAGGGCACACAUAAUGAUGACGAGUAGGGCGAGGCACGUGAAACCUUGUCUGAAUAUGGGGGGACCAUCCUCCAAGGCUAAAUACUCCUGACUGACCGAUAGUGAACCAGUACCGUGAGGGAAAGGCGAAAAGAACCCCUGUGAGGGGAGUGAAAUAGAUCCUGAAACCGCAUGCAUACAAGCAGUGGGAGCACCUUCGUGGUGUGACUGCGUACCUUUUGUAUAAUGGGUCAGCGACUUAUAUUCAGUAGCGAGGUUAACCGUAUAGGGGAGCCGUAGAGAAAUCGAGUCUUAAUAGGGCGUUUAGUUGCUGGGUAUAGACCCGAAACCAGGCGAUCUAUCCAUGAGCAGGUUGAAGGUUGGGUAACACUAACUGGAGGACCGAACCCACUGUCGUUGAAAAGCCAGGGGAUGACUUGUGGAUAGGGGUGAAAGGCUAAUCAAGCCUGGUGAUAGCUGGUUCUCCCCGAAAGCUAUUUAGGUAGCGCCUCGGACGAAUACCAUAGGGGGUAGAGCACUGUUUCGGCUAGGGGGUCAUCCCGACUUACCAAACCGAUGCAAACUCCGAAUACCUAUGAGUACUAUCCGGGAGACAGACUGCGGGUGCUAACGUCCGUAGUCAAGAGGAAAACAAUCCAGACCGCCAGCUAAGGCCCCAAAAUCAUAGUUAAGUGGGAAACGAUGUGGGAAGGCAUAGACAGCUAGGAGGUUGGCUUAGAAGCAGCCACCCUUUAAAGAAAGCGUAAUAGCUCACUAGUCGAGUCGGCCUGCGCGGAAGAUGUAACGGGGCUAAAACUAUGUGCCGAAGCUGCGGAUGUAUACUUUGUAUACGUGGUAGGGGAGCGUUCUGUAAGCCGAUGAAGGUGUGUUGAGAAGCAUGCUGGAGGUAUCAGAAGUGCGAAUGCUGACGUGAGUAACGACAAAACGGGUGAAAAACCCGUUCGCCGAAAGACCAAGGGUUCCAGUCCAACGUUAAUCGGGGCUGGGUGAGUCGACCCCUAAGGCGAGGCCGAAAGGCGUAGUCGAUGGGAAAAUGGUUAAUAUUCCAUUACUUCUGUGUAAUGCGAUGAGAGGACGGAGAAGGCUAAAUCAGCCUGGCGUUGGUUGUCCAGGUGAAAGGAUGUAGGCAUGUAUCUUAGGCAAAUCCGGGGUACUCUAUGCUGAGAUCUGAUAGCAAGCUGUACUUGUACAGCGAAGUGGUUGAUGCCAUGCUUCCAGGAAAAGUCUCUAAGCUUCAGUUACACAGGAAUCGUACCCGAAACCGACACAGGUGGUCAGGUCGAGUAGACCAAGGCGCUUGAGAGAACUCUGCUGAAGGAACUAGGCAAAAUGGUACCGUAACUUCGGGAGAAGGUACGCUGUUGUUGGUGAUGGAACUCGCUUCCUGAGCUGACGACAGCCGCAGAAACCAGGCCGCUGCAACUGUUUAUUAAAAACAUAGCACUCUGCAAACACGAAAGUGGACGUAUAGGGUGUGAUGCCUGCCCGGUGCUGGAAGGUUAAUUGAUGGGGUUAGCGUAAGCGAAGCUCUUGAUCGAAGCCCCAGUAAACGGCGGCCGUAACUAUAACGGUCCUAAGGUAGCGAAAUUCCUUGUCGGGUAAGUUCCGACCUGCACGAAUGGCAUAAUGAUGGCGGCGCUGUCUCCAGCAGAGGCUCAGUGAAAUCGAAAUCGCUGUGAAGAUGCAGUGUACCCGCGGCUAGACGGAAAGACCCCGUGAACCUUUACUGCAGCUUGACACUGAACUUUGACCUUACUUGUGUAGGAUAGGUGGGAGGCUUUGAAGCUGGAACGCUAGUUCCAGUGGAGCCGUCCUUGAAAUACCACCCUGGUAAUGUUGAGGUUCUAACUCUGUCCCGUGAUCCGGGACGAGGACCGUGUCUGGUGGGUAGUUUGACUGGGGCGGUCUCCUCCUAAAGAGUAACGGAGGAGUACGAAGGUGCGCUCAGCGUGGUCGGAAAUCACGCGUAGAGUAUAAAGGCAAAAGCGCGCUUAACUGCGAGACCCACAAGUCGAGCAGGUACGAAAGUAGGUCUUAGUGAUCCGGUGGUUCUGUAUGGAAGGGCCAUCGCUCAACGGAUAAAAGGUACUCUGGGGAUAACAGGCUGAUACCGCCCAAGAGUUCAUAUCGACGGCGGUGUUUGGCACCUCGAUGUCGGCUCAUCUCAUCCUGGGGCUGAAGCAGGUCCCAAGGGUAUGGCUGUUCGCCAUUUAAAGAGGUACGCGAGCUGGGUUUAGAACGUCGUGAGACAGUUCGGUCCCUAUCUACCGUGGGCGCUGGAAAUUUGAGAGGAUCUGCUCCUAGUACGAGAGGACCAGAGUGGACGAACCUCUGGUGUACCGGUUGUGACGCCAGUCGCAUCGCCGGGGAGCUAUGUUCGGAAGGGAUAACCGCUGAAAGCAUCUAAGCGGGAAGCCUACCUCAAGAUAAGAUUUCCCUAGGACUUUAUGUCCUCUAAAGAGCCGUUCGAGACUAGGACGUUGAUAGGUUGGAUGUGGAAGCAUAGUGAUAUGUGAAGCUGACCAAUACUAAUUGCUCGUGAGGCUUGACUAU
rnacentral:rRNA from 1 species